rnacentral:rRNA from 1 species
UACAGAGGGGGCAAGCGUUGUUCGGAAUUACUGGGCGUAAAGGGCGCGUAGGCGGCCCGCUAAGUCGAACGUGAAAUCCCCGAGCUCAACUCGGGAACUGCGUCCGAUACUGGCGGGCUUGAAUCCGGGAGAGGGAUGCGGAAUUCCAGGUGUAGCGGUGAAAUGCGUAGAUAUCUGGAGGAACACCGGUGGCGAAGGCGGCGACCUGGUCCGUGACUGACGCUGAGGCGCGAAAGCGUGGGGAGCAAACAGG